UACGUAGGGGGCUAGCGUUGUCCGGAUUUAUUGGGCGUAAAGAGCGUGUAGGCGGCCAGGUAGGUCUGCUGUGAAAACUCGAGGCUCAACCUCGAGCUGUCGAUGGAAACCAUCUGGCUAGAGUCCGGAAGAGGAGAGUGGAAUUCCUGGUGUAGCGGUGAAAUGCGCAGAUAUCAGGAAGAACAUCCGUGGCGAAGGCGGCUCUCUGGUACGUGACUGACGCUGAGACGCGAAAGCGUGGGGAGCGAACAGG
rnacentral:rRNA from 1 species